rnacentral:rRNA from 1 species
AAGCGACUAAGCGUACACGGUGGAUGCCCUGGCAGUCAGAGGCGAUGAAGGGCGUGCUAAUCUGCGAUAAGCGCCGGUAAGGUGAUAUGAACCGUUAUAACCGGCGAUACCCGAAUGGGGAAACCCACCCAGUGUGUGACGGCAUAAAAAUGCGCCAGCAAUGCCUUAUUGAGCGCUUUUACCGCUUGCGGAUUAGCAAAAUCAACGCUCUGUUCACCGGCGGGCGUGCGGAUAAGAAAGGACGUCAAUUCCGG